rnacentral:rRNA from 1 species
GACGUAGGGGGCGAGCGUUGUCCGGAUUUAUUGGGCGUAAAGCGUGCGUAGGCGGCUGCGCAAGUCGGGUGUGAAACCCCGGGGCUCAACCCCGGAACUGCAUCCGAUACUGCGUGGCUAGAGGUAGGUAGGGGAGAUCGGAAUUCCUGGUGUAGCGGUGAAAUGCGCAGAUAUCAAGAGGAACACCGGUGGCGAAGGCGGAUCUCUGGGCCUUACCUGACGCUCAGGCACGAAAGCUAGGGGAGCGAACAGG